CUCAUCAUCCCGGGACUUCCAACCCUCGCACCGCUGUGCUGUCCCCCACUGCAUCCUAUAACAAGUGUUCAGCUCAAUCACAGGUUUCCCACUCCAAUCGCCUUUCAACCGCGGAUUAAAAUGCAGAAUCCUUGGUGGGUCCUCCCUGUCCACCGUUUUCAACCCCUGCAACUCCAUCAUAAACUGCGAAACCAUCAAAUACUGCCCCUCCUUCAACAGAGAAAUUUUCGGAUCAGUAUCCUCAUGCGCCACCCUCGGCUUUCCGACCAAAGUAAUAUGUGAUCCCAACGUCAACCCACAAGGCAACACCAUCACUCUCCCAUUCUCCAAGAAAACAUCGCCAGAUAUGGACAUAGAUUGCGGGCACUCCUCACUUCUACUUCUAUUAUUACUCCCACUUGUACUAUUACUACUACUGCCACUAUUCUUCCCUAUCAAAUCAAGCUCUUGCCAGAGUUUUUCCCCAAGUUUAACAGCCUCUCUAGCAGACUUCAAAAUCCCAUUUUCCGAGCUUGAACUUUCAGUCCCUGCACUCAAAUUCAAGCUCGACAUCCGGGAUUUAACCAACUCCUUAAUCCUUUUUUCAAGUUUAGACUGAUACGGAACAUGAAGAGGGCGAAUGGGAGCAUCUUUUUCCUCCAAAUUUUCCUCGCUCUCUAACAUGGAGUUGGAGAUAGAGCGCCCAUUAUUAUUACUAGAAAAUUCCUCUCGAGAAACAGAGCCAAACCGACUUUCGAAAAUCAAGGGAAAUUCAAAACUCACCAAAAAAAUGUAAAACAACCCAAUAAAAAUCAGAACCUGAACUGAUCGGCGCCGACUCAGAGAAGAGAAUAGGUCAAGUUUUGCUCUUUUCAUAACUUUUUCAGUAUUAAAAACUGAAAGAGAAGGCAGAGAAUCACAACCUGGUUUUGAGUUCAAUUUUGUGUGACUGGUCGCGCAAAAAAAAGUGACUGGCUCUACUGUAUUUUUUGUAAAACAGCAAACAAAAUAACCCAACUCUCAUCAAAGAGAGAAGUUAGAAGAAGAGAGUGAGUCAGCAACCCAGCCAGCGUUGCAACCGCUUUCAAGCGAGAGAUCGCUACGUGUACACAGGUGUUUGUAAAUGAAUACAUAUAUUUUUCCACAUAGAGACUCGUGGAGUGAAGAAAGGCAUUAAUGAAGAAUAUUUCUCUAAUAAAAUAAUAGUAAUCUUUAACGGAAUUCAUUUUUAAUUAUGCAUUUUUUUAAUUAAAUAAUUUUAUAUGCAAAUUUUAAUUUUUUUUCCUACUUUUAACUACAAAUCCUUCAAAAUAAUUGCUUACGCUUUUCAUGACCCACAAAGAAAAAGGGAAGUUGUUACUUGCCAUAUGUCGCAAAUGCAUUAAAAGGACAAACAAUUAUUACAUUUAUACAUCUUUGAUUUGCAAUUUUUUGCUAAAAUAUCGAACAGUAAUUAUCGACUCAUUUAUUAAUCUACAAUUUUAAAUCGAUGCAAGUAUUUAAAUUUCUAGUCGACUAGUUGAGCACUAUUUAACAUUUUGUUCAAAAAGGGAAAUAGAAUAUCCGAUAUGAAAAGAAAAAAUGAAUCAUUUCAAUGAAGAAACUUUUUAUAAUUUAUGCAAGUAUUUUUUUAGUUGUACAAUCAGAAUUGACAACGUCCUCACGGGAGGGGGCCGAUGAUUUUUUUACUCAUCGUGGGAUUUCCUCUCAUAUGUGUGAUUGUCAAUCGAGAUUGUCGAUCCGAUUGUACAUGUAGCACUUUGCUUUAUGCAAAACAUAUCAUUCCAGGUACUAUCAUUAGCCCUCGUUUGCCCCAAUUUUGUAGAAAUGAAAAUGUGUGUAAUGGUAUUUUUUGAAAAAUAAGUAGUUGAAAAUAAAUGAAAUUUUUUUUAUUUACGUAUAAUAUUAUUUUAUAAAAGAUUGUACGGUUAAAAAUAUAAAAAAAUAAAAUUCAAUGUAAUGAAAAUCAAUGGAGGCGAAACGGGUUAAUAUAGUAAUAGUUGGUACACAUCUGGUCAACUAUUUGACUAUCUGUCUGUUGCGUUCUCUGCGCCCGGCGCAUUUUAGAACUAAGCCAAUGCAGAUCCCCCAGCCCACACAAGUUCCUAUCCAAACCUGAAACCCCUCUAGAAAAUACCCUAUUCUAGGCUUCGUCUGCCCAACCCCACCCACUACUCAAGAAAAUAACCCAUUUAAGGCUUCCUCCACCACCCAAACACCUAUGGAUCCCACAGACAAAAGGCACAAAGACACAACCAGCACCACCAAGCUCCACCACCACCCCAGCCACCCUCUGCCGGAUCCCACCACCAAUCCCCCUUCUUCUAUCCAAAGCAUAUCCAGUCAGUUUUCCAAGCUUUACGCAAAUCACAAAAAACUGGCUUCCUUAAAAACCUCUAGUGGGCAUUCAAUAUCUCACUCACAUUCACACCCCCAAGUUGACACAAAUUCCCAAGCCAAAUCUAUGGAUGUUUCCUCUGUUUUGGACAUCUCAUGUGCCACUUUGACCAAGUCAAACAGCCAGCACCAAAGAAAUAAUUUAGCAGUGGCUCAGAUUAAGAAGAAAGGGCUGGGCACAAGAACCAAGAUUAAAGAGAAGAACGAUACAAAUGAAAUCAAGAAAUCAUCGUCCAAGAAAUCUUAUGAAGAAUAUGAUGUGAAAAAGGCAGCUAAUUUGAUGUCAAGAAGUGCUGAAAGUGAUCUAAUUAAGAAGUUGCAACAAGGGUUUGAACUUCCAAAGCAGUCUAUCACAAUGAAUGGAGGGAGAAGGUCAUUUUGUAGUUCACAGGCUGAAUUGGCUGAUUUCUUCUCUUGCAGUGGUGUGAAAGUUGUGUCUGUUGAUAUGCCACCAUUUAUGCAGAUUCAUGCCGUGAAUUCUGCAAGAAAGACUCAUGAUAGCUUGGAAAAAUUCAAUUCCAAGACCCUUGCUUUGACACUAAAAAAGGUAAUUAAAUCAUAGCUAUUAUCAUUAUAGCAUUUUUUUUUUGGUUUACUCUCUCUGUAAAUAUUUAUGGGUUUUUUAAUACUUGAGGAAAGAGUUAAUGGGAAUUUUUUUUUCUAAUUCUGCUUGCUUUUGCAGGAGUUUGAUGGGGUAUAUGGACCAGCUUGGCACUGUAUAGUAGGGACCAGUUUUGGGUCUUUUGUAACACAUUCAGUGGGUGGGUUUAUGUACUUCUCUAUGGAUAACAAGCUACAUGUCCUCUUGUUCAAGCAUAAAACACAACUUUCACUCUAGUAACUUGAAAUUAGGUGAAAAUUUUCCACACAUAGUCUGAACUGAGAGCAGCAAAGACAUUCAUAUCAGAAUCAGACCUACGUAUAGACAAUAUGGGCAAGUGGACUAAUUACUACAAUCAUUUGCACUUUUUUGUUUAAUAUCAAAGUACUUAUUACAAGUACUUCCAACAUCAUUUUAAGAAUUUCUCGCAACAGAUAAUAUGACAUAACAAUCACCUUAUUUGAAAACAAACCCUGUUUCCAUAUUAGAAUAAAGUGAAGUGACUCUUACUACUCACCAGACUCCUCAUCAUCCCGGGACUUCCAACCCUCGCACCGCUGUGCUGUCCCCCACUGCAUCCUAUAACAAGUGUUCAGCUCAAUCACAGGUUUCCCACUCCAAUCGCCUUUCAACCGCGGAUUAAAAUGCAGAAUCCUUGGUGGGUCCUCCCUGUCCACCGUUUUCAACCCCUGCAACUCCAUCAUAAACUGCGAAACCAUCAAAUACUGCCCCUCCUUCAACAGAGAAAUUUUCGG
rnacentral:lncRNA from 1 species